AGGCAGCAGUGGGGAAUAUUGGACAAUGGGCGCAAGCCUGAUCCAGCCAUGCCGCGUGUGUGAAGAAGGCCUUCGGGUUGUAAAGCACUUUUGUUGGGGAAGAAAAGAUUCGGGUUAAUAACCUGGGUUCAUGACGGUACCCAAAGAAUAAGCACCGGCUAACUUCGUGCCAGCAGCCGCGGUAAUACGAAGGGUGCAAGCGUUACUCGGAAUUACUGGGCGUAAAGCGUGCGUAGGCGGUUUGUUAAGUCUGUCGUGAAAGCCCCGGGCUCAACCUGGGAAUGGCGGUGGAUACUGGCAAGCUAGAGUACGGUAGAGGAUGGUGGAAUUCCCGGUGUAGCAGUGAAAUGCGUAGAGAUCGGGAGGAACAUCUAUGGCGAAGGCAGCCAUCUGGACCAGUACUGACNNNGAGGCACGAAAGCGUGGGGAGCAAACAGGAUUAGAUACCCUGGUAG
rnacentral:rRNA from 1 species